rnacentral:rRNA from 1 species
UACGUAGGGGGCAAGCGUUGUCCGGAUUUAUUGGGCGUAAAGAGCGUGUAGGCGGCCAAACAGGUCCACUGUGAAAACUCGAGGCUCAACCUCGAGAGGUCGGUGGAAACCGUCUGGCUAGAGUCCGGAAGAGGAGAGUGGAAUUCCCGGUAUAGCGGUGAAAUGCGCAGAUAUCGGGAAGAACACCCGUGGCGAAGGCGGCUCUCUGGGACGGUACUGACGCUGAGACGCGAAAGCGUGGGGAGCGAACAGG